AGUUUUGUAUCAUAAAAGUUUGCUACACCUAAAACUCCCCUAUUAGGCAUAGCAUUAUUCAUUGUAACUAUUUUGUAAAUUUAUUUCCUGUUUGAUAAGUCAUCUAUCUUUUCAAUUCUACAAUAAAUCGUGAUCAAGUGAGUGACUUAUCAUGAUUACUACAGAAUCAUUGGAAAGAAAAAGGUGCUUUAGUAAUUGAGAUUACAAAAUUCAUCUGCAGCUGACAAAGUGGUGAAGUUAUAUGAAGUCUUUAUAUUUAUUUCAAUAAAAAUAUAUAAAAGCUGAA